rnacentral:rRNA from 1 species
AACGCUGGCGGCGCGCUUAACACAUGCAAGUCGAGCGAGAACCUGGCCUUCGGGCCAGGGGACAGCGGCGAACGGGUGAGUAACACGUGGGUAAUCUGCCCUCGGCAUCGGGAUAGCCCGGGGAAACCCGGAUUAAUACCGAAUAGCCUCCGGAGCCUUCGGGCGCCGGAGAAAAGGUAGCUUCGGCCUCUGGCCGAGGAUGAGCCCGCGGCGGAUUAGCUUGUUGGUGGGGUAACGGCCCACCAAGGCGACGAUCCGUAGCUGGUCUGGGAGGACGAUCAGCCACACUGGGACUGAGGCACGGCCCAGACUCCUACGGGAGGCAGCAGUGGGGAAUCUUGCGCAAAUGCGGGAAACCGUGACGCAGCGACGCCGCGUGGGGGAAGAAGGCCUUCGGGUUGUAAACCUCUUUCAGGAGGGACGAAGCUACUCGGGUGAAUAGCCCAGAGGGUGACGGUACCUCCAGAAGAAGCCCCGGCUAACUACGUGCCAGCAGCCGCGGUAA